rnacentral:misc_RNA from 1 species
GCAAACUUGGUCAUUUAGAGGAAGUAAAAGUCGUAACAAGGUCUCCGUAGGUGAACCUGCGGAGGGAUCAUUACAGAGUUAUCAAACUCCUAAACCCUUUGUUUAAUCUACCUAUUGUUUCUUCGGCAGGUGGUCCCUGGGAGGGUCCUGUAGCCUGUUUAGGUACCUGCCGAAGACCACAAACUCAGUUUUACAUUUUUGUGUCUAAGUUUUAUUAUAAAUAAGUCAAAACUUUCAACAACGGAUCUCUUGGUUCUGGCAUCGAUGAAGAACGCAGC